UGGGGAAUUUUGGACAAUGGGCGAAAGCCUGAUCCAGCAAUGCCGCGUGCAGGAUGAAGGCCUUCGGGUUGUAAACUGCUUUUGUACGGAACGAAAAAGCUUCUCCUAAUACGAGAGGCCCAUGACGGUACCGUAAGAAUAAGCACCGGCUAACUACGUGCCAGCAGCCGCGGUAAUACGUAGGGUGCGAGCGUUAAUCGGAAUUACUGGGCGUAAAGCGUGCGCAGGCGGUUAUGUAAGACAGAUGUGAAAUCCCCGGGCUCAACCUGGGAACUGCAUUUGUGACUGCAUGGCUAGAGUACGGUAGAGGGGGAUGGAAUUCCGCGUGUAGCAGUGAAAUGCGUAGAUAUGCGGAGGAACACCGAUGGCGAAGGCAAUCCCCUGGACCUGUACUGACGCUCAUGCACGAAAGCGUGGGGAGCAAACAGGAUUAGAUACCCUGGUAGUCCACGCCCUAAACGAUGUCAACUGGUUGUUGGGAAUUAGUUUUCUCAGUAACGAAGCUAACGCGUGAAGUUGACCGUCUGGGGAGUACGGCCGCAAGGUUG
rnacentral:rRNA from 1 species